GAGAGUUAAACAGUACGUGAAAUUGUUGAAAGGGAAACGAUUGAAGUCAGUCAUACCAACGGGAAAUCAACCUUUUGAGCUCGGUCUCGUGGGUUUUGAAGAGUUUCAAAGCCUUCGGAUUCGCGGGAUUGGGAUCUCUUGGUGUACUUUUUCGUACGGUUAGUCAACAUCGGUUUUGAAUGUCAUAAAAUGACUGGAGGAAUGUAGCUUCGAUCUCGUAUUGAAGUGUUAUAGCCUUUGGUAGAUGUGAUGUUCGAGACCGAGGAUUGCAACGGAUACCCUUCUGGGCUAUUCGUCUGAUCUCUGAAACGUUGCCUUGAUGUCGAAAGCUUGCUUACGGUCAUUUAAGUUGACGGUCAAAAGGUUAGAACGUGAUUACAUUCGUUAAGGACGUUGGCGUAAUGGCUUUAAACGA
rnacentral:rRNA from 1 species